rnacentral:snoRNA from 1 species
AAACCCCGGCUAACGGUCUGAGCCAUGAUAUUUUCAGCCAGGUAGGAGCGAUGUAGUGGCGGUCAUCCAGUUAACAUGGAACGGACGUGACUCAUCGCUCCUUCUGACGGCAUCAUAGCGAUUGCGUCGGGCAAUAACGACCAAAGAACCAGGCUCGU